UACGUAGGGGGCGAGCGUUGUCCGGAAUUAUUGGGCGUAAAGCGCGCGUAGGCGGGUUAGUCAGUCAGGUGUAAAAGCGCGGGGCUCAACCCCGUAAGGUCAAUUGAAACUGCAAUUCUUGAGUGCAGGAGAGGAAAGUGGAAUUCCCAGUGUAGCGGUGAAAUGCGUAGAUAUUGGGAGGAACACCAGUGGCGAAGGCGACUUUCUGGACUGUUACUGACGCUGAGGCGCGAAAGCGUGGGGAGCGAACGGG
rnacentral:rRNA from 1 species